ACUCAAAUGAAUUGACGGGGGCCCGCACAAGCAGUGGAGCAUGUGGUUUAAUUCGACGCGACCCGAAGAACCUUACCAGGUUUUGACAUCUAUCUAAGACUUCAGAGAUGGAGUUGUGCCCUUUGGGAAAGAUAAGACAGGUGGUGCAUGGUUGUCGUCAGCUCGUGUCGUGAGAUGUUGGGUUAAGUCCCGCAACGAGCGCAACCCUUGAUGUCGGUUGCCAGCAGGUAGAGCUGGGCACUCCGGCGUGACUGCCGUAGAGAAUACGGAGGAAGGCGGGGAUGACGUCAAAUCAUCAUGCCCUAUAUAACCUGGGCUACACACGUGCUACAAUGGGGCGAACAACGGGAAGCGAGUCUGCGAAGGCAAGCGGAUCCCUAAAAACGCCUCUCAGUUCGGAUUGCAGGCUGCAACUCGCCUGCAUGAAGUCGGAAUUGCUAGUAAUCGCGGAUCAGCAAGCCGCGGUGAAUACGUUCCCGGGCCUUGUACACACCGCCCGU
rnacentral:rRNA from 1 species